GAUGAACGCUAGCGGCAGGCUUAACACAUGCAAGUCGAGGGGUAGAGGAAGCUUGCUUCCUUGAGACCGGCGCACGGGUGCGUAACGCGUAUACAAUCUACCUUUUACAGAGGGAUAGCCCCAGAGAAAUUUGGAUUAAUACCUCAUAGUAUAGCAGUUUCGCAUGAAACCACUAUUAAAGUUCCAACGGUGAAAGAUGAGCAUGCGUCCCAUUAGCUAGUUGGUAAGGUAACGGCUUACCAAGGCUACGAUGGGUAGGGGUCCUGAGAGGGAGAUCCCCCACACUGGUACUGAGACACGGACCAGACUCCUACGGGAGGCAGCAGUGAGGAAUAUUGGACAAUGGGCGAAAGCCUGAUCCAGCAAUGCCGCGUGAGUGAUGAAGGCCUUAGGGUUGUAAAGCUCUUUUACCCGGGAUGAUAAUGACAGUACCGGGAGAAUAAGCUCCGGCUAAACUCCCGUGCCCAGCAGCCGCGGUAAAGUGACU
rnacentral:rRNA from 1 species